ACGGCUCAGUAACAUGUAGUCAAUCUGCCCUCAGGACGGGAAUACCCACGGGAAACUGUGGCGAACUCCAGAUAAUCCAUCUAUGCUGGAAUGCUUGAUGGGUAAAAGCGACGGUGAAAUGGAGCCGUUUGGCCUGAGGAUGAGACUGCACCUGAUUAGGUAGUUGGUGAGGUAACGGCUCACCAAGCCGAUAAUCAGUAGGGGCAAUGGGAGUUGGAGCCCCGAGAAGGGCACUGAGACAAGGGCCCUAGUCCUACGGGAUGCAGCAGGCGCGAAACCUUUGCCAUGCGCGAAAGCGUGACAGGGGAACUCCGAGUGGUAGGAUGGUUUUACCUUCCUAUCUUUUGGCCAAUCCAAACAAUUGGCAGAAUAAGAUCUGGGUAAGACCAGUGCCAGCCGCCAUGUGUGUGUAUUUCGCACCCACAUAGCACGGUACGCGGUAAUACUGGCAGAGCGAGUGGUAUCCACGAAUAUUGGGUCUAAAGAGUCCGUAGCUGGUCUAUUAAGUCCACUGUGAAAUCCGGCGGCUCAACCGCCGGGCGUGCAGUGGAUACUGAUAGGCUUGGGAGCGGGGGAGGCCGGGAGUACUUGCGGGGUAAGAGUAAAAUCUGUUGAUCCUGCAAGGACUACCAGUGGCGAAGGCGCCCGGCCAAAACGCGUCCGACAGUGAGGGACGAAGGCUAGGAGAACGAAUCGGAUUAGAUACCCGAGUAGCCCUAGCAGUAAAUUAUGCAGACUGUGGUGUUGCGCCGACUUCGAGUCGGCGCAGUGCUGUAGCGUAGUGUUAAGUCUGCCACCUGGGGAGUACGGCCGCAAGGUUGAAACUUAAA
rnacentral:rRNA from 1 species